rnacentral:rRNA from 1 species
ACGAACGCUGGCGGCAGGCCUAACACAUGCAAGUCGAACGCCCCGCAAGGGGAGUGGCAGACGGGUGAGUAACGCGUGGGAAUUUCCCCCGAGGUUCGGAAUAACUGAGGGAAACUUCAGCUAAUACCGGAUGGUGCCGAGAGGCUAAAGAUUUAUCGCCUUGGGAUAAGCCCGCGUUGGAUUAGCUAGUUGGUGAGGUAACGGCCCACCAAGGCUACGAUCCAUAGCUGGUCUGAGAGGACGACCAGCCACACUGGGACUGAGACACGGCCCAGACUCUUGCGGGAGGCAGCAGUGGGGAAUCUUGGACAAUGGAGGCAACUCUGAUCCAGCCAUGCCGCGUGGGUGAUAAGGUCUUCGGAUUGUAAAGCCCUUUCGGCGGGGACGAUAAUGACGGUACCCGCAGAAGAAGCUUCGGCUAACUUCGU